rnacentral:misc_RNA from 1 species
GAUGAAGAACGCAGCAAAAUGCGAUAAGUAAUGUGAAUUGCAGAAUUCAGUGAAUCAUCGAAUCUUUGAACGCACAUUGCGCCCGCUGGUAUUCCGGCGGGCAUGCCUGUUCGAGCGUCAUUUCAACCCUCAAGCCCCCGGGUUUGGUGUUGGGGAUCGGCUCUGCCCUUCUGGGCGGUGCCGCCCCCGAAAUACAUUGGCGGUCUCGCUGCAGCCUCCAUUGCGUAGUAGCUAACACCUCGCAACUGGAACGCGGCGCGGCCAUGCCGUAAAACCCCAACUGCUGAAUGUUGACCUCGGAUCAGGUAGGAAUACCCGCUGAACUUAAGCAUAUCAAUAAGCGGAGGA